rnacentral:rRNA from 1 species
GACGAACGCUGGCGGCGUGCUUAACACAUGCAAGUCGAACGGAAAGGCCCUGCUUUCAGGGUACUCGAGUGGCGAACGGGUGAGUAACACGUGGGUGAUCUGCCCUGCACUUCUGGAUAAGCUUGGGAAACUGGGGCUAAUACCGGGUAGGACCGCACCUGCGUGUGGGUGGUGGAAAGUUUUUUCGGUGUAGGGUGGGUGGGCGGGCUAUCAGCUUGUUGGUGGGUGAAGGGCUGGCCAAGGAGGCGAUGGGUAGGCGGCCUGAGAGGGUGUACGGCCACCAUUGGACUGGGGUAAGGCCCAGAAUCCCACGGGAGGCCACAGGUGGGAAUAAUGCACCAUGGGGGCGAGCCUGAUGCAGGGAAGCCGGGUGGGGGAAGAAGGCCUUCGGGUUGUAAAAUCCUUUCGCUCGGGAAGAAGCUUUUUGUGACGGUAACUAGAUAAGAAGCACCGGCUAACUACGUG